ensembl:lncRNA
GAGAGGAAAUAGAGCUGAGACUCUGGAGACCUAAUACACAAGAGGAGCACAUCCUUGAAUCAGGGGGAACCUUGGAAAAGAGAAACUCAGAGUCCAAAGAUGUCUGCCGAAGUAUCCAUCCAUCACAAAAUGGACUGACCAGCCAAGAAAUGAACAGAUCUCUCAGCUGCCAUGGCCACUGCAACGUGAGAUGAACUGACAGAGAUGUCCAGAGUGUAUUGUAGAUACUCCUUUGGGAACGCCCUUAGGACAUGUCUGAAAUGGGAGGGCAUGGGAUAUUGCCUUAAACCUGACCACUUUUUGACAAGCUGAUCCUAUACUUAACAGAAGCUUGGAUACAAAUCUCUAUUCUUUUACAUGUAACAAUAACUUCAGAGCAAGAACACAGAGAGAUAAAGACAUUGGAACAUCAACUUUCUUCUUCCCUCUCAAGAGAUAAUACACUUUUUCAGGGCAACUCUAUGAUGGUUUCCAAAAUACUUUUAAGAACUUUCAUGGUCUUUGUAUCUAAGGCUUCCCACGUUGCACAAACAACAAAAACUCAACUUGUAUGGGGGUGGGAAUUCACACAAUAACUCCAGCAUGAAAAAUAUCUUACUCUCUUUUUAGAACAUUAGGCCCGAGGGAUAGAUACUGUACAAAUGCCUUUUUGUCUUUACGUAUUUCCUUUAAGAAAAUUGUGCUACACCCAAAGAAAUAUCAUAUGAGAGAAUUUUUGCUGAUCCCUUCAGCAUGAAAUUAGUGCCUACACAUACAGAGGAAUGCUGUGAAGUAGUACCAAUUACUUUUCAGGACAAAAUCACAGUUCAAAUAAUGUAGAACAGAAUCCGGUGACACAAAAACACACGGUUUUCAGACUAUAAUAUGCAACUAAGUUGUUUCUCCCCACAGAUCUUGCAGCUCUAUUUUAAAAAUAGCAAACCAUUUUUAGGUAUUCUGGUUUUCAAGGGUUCACACUGAUAAAACUUUCAAGGAGUUUAUUAAGAGGAUGUUUACUCAACAUUUUUUAAACUUACAGUUUUACACUUCAGCCAAUGAAUCUUGUUAUAGUAUAUAGCCAAUAAUUUAGAAUCAUAGAAUCACAAGGCUGGAAAGGAUCUACAAGAUCAUCUAGUUCUACCAUCCUCCCAUUACCAUUGCUACCACAUGCAACUAAACAAGGUCUUGUAGCUCCUCAUCCAGACUCCUCUAGAACGCUGCCAGAGAUGGUAACUCCACCACCUUCCUGGGCAGACAUUCCAGUGCCUGACCACUUUCU